UGCUUACGCUCUAUAAUGCAGUCGAGCGAUCGAUGGGAGCUUGCUCCCUGAGAUUAGCGGCGGACGGGUGAGUAACACGUGGGCAACCUGCCUAUAAGACUGGGAUAACUUCGGGAAACCGGAGCUAAUACCGGAUACGUUCUUUUCUCGCAUGAGAGAAGAUGGAAAGACGGUUUACGCUGUCACUUAUAGAUGGGCCCGCGGCGCAUUAGCUAGUUGGUGAGGUAAUGGCUCACCAAGGCGACGAUGCGUAGCCGACCUGAGAGGGUGAUCGGCCACACUGGGACUGAGACACGGCCCAGACUCCUACGGGAGGCAGCAGUAGGGAAUCUUCCGCAAUGGACGAAAGUCUGACGGAGCAACGCCGCGUGAACGAAGAAGGCCUUCGGGUCGUAAAGUUCUGUUGUUAGGGAAGAACAAGUACCAGAGUAACUGCUGGUACCUUGACGGUACCUAACCAGAAAGCCACGGCUAACUACGUGCCAGCAGCCGCGGUAAUACGUAGGUGGCAAGCGUUGUCCGGGAAUUAUUGGGCGUAAAGCGCGCGCAGGUGGUUUCUUAAGUCUGAUGUGAAAGCCCACGGCUCAACCGUGGAGGGUCAUUGGAAACUGGGGAACUUGAGUGCAGAAGAGGAAAGUGGAAUUCCAAGUGUAGCGGUGAAAUGCGUAGAGAUUUGGAGGAACACCAGUGGCGAAGGCGACUUUUUGGUCUGUAACUGACACUGAGGGGCGAAAUCGUGGGGAGCAAACAGGAUUAGAUACCCCUGGUUGUCCCCGCCGUUAACGAUGAUUGCUACGUUGUUAGAGGGUUUCCGCCCCUUUUAGUUGCUGCAGCUAACGCAUUAAGCACUCCCGCCUGGGGGAGUACGGGCCGCAAGGGUGAAACUCAAAGGAAUUGACGGGGGCCCCGCACAAGCGGUGGAGCAUGUGUUUUAAUUCGAAGCAACGCGAAGAACCUUACCAGGUCUUGACAUCCUCUGACAACCCUAGAGAUAGGGCUUUCCCCUUCGGGGGACAGAGUGACAGGUGGUGCAUGGUUGUCGUCAGCUCGUGUCGUGAGAUGUUGGGUUAAGUCCCGCAACGAGCGCAACCCUUGAUCUUAGUUGCCAGCAUUCAGUUGGGCACUCUAAGGUGACUGCCGGUGACAAACCGGAGGAAGGUGGGGAUGACGUCAAAUCAUCAUGCCCCUUAUGACCUGGGCUACACACGUGCUACAAUGGAUGGUACAAAGGGCUGCAAACCUGCGAAGGUAAGCGAAUCCCAUAAAGCCAUUCUCAGUUCGGAUUGCAGGCUGCAACUCGCCUGCAUGAAGCCGGAAUCGCUAGUAAUCGCGGAUCAGCAUGCCGCGGUGAAUACGUUCCCGGGCCUUGUACACACCGCCCGUCACACCACGAGAGUUUGUAACACCCGAAGUCGGUGAGGUAACCUCAUGAGCCAGCGCUAAUGACAAU
rnacentral:rRNA from 2 species